AAAGGUGUGAAGAAGAAUGCUCAGGAUCAUUUGGUUCAAUCUCAGUCAGGAACAUUGAGACUGUUCCGCUGAUUACUUUGUUUUAUUUGUUCCCUCAGGAGUCCACCUUUAAAAAAUAUUUCAAAGAAGUGUGUUUUCCUUCACUUCAGGAAUUCUAAAUGAGGGAAGGUGUGGGAACAGAACUGGAUCACAGAGGCUCCAACAAGCUGCAUCCCCCUCUCCACACCCCUAGGUCCCAAGACUCCUGAGGCACACAUCAGACUCCCAAAGUCAGGAAGUGGGGAUGUGAGCAGCACCAUAUGGCAGUGACAGCACCUUCUGCAAGAAAAGAAACUCUAAACCAAUUACAACAAUAUCAUUUCUAUGUUGAACCAUAAGUCAUUGGAAACCCACUGCAACCAUGCUUCCAUAAUAGCAGCUGGAAUCUCCAAUUCUAUAGAGAAAAGGAAUGUUGAAGUAACAUACAUGUAGCUUUGAGGAGGAGGCAGGUACAUUCAAGCUCAUGGAGAGGAUUGACAGCCACAGACAGGUACUCAUAAGAACUGAAUGUAAAUCAUCAAAGAGAACAUACUCAGGAGGCACUGUCCACCAUAGAUAACAUCUUUCAGACAAGCUGAUAUUACUUGCGUUUGAGAAUUGCAGAGGGAAGGAAGAUGAGAUGGGUCAUUGGUGUCUUCCCACAACUUCAUACAUCUGCUGACAAUUGCCAAAUUUGGAGUCAUGUGAAAAGAGACGGGCUGAGUAAGAAAGAUCAGAGGAUAUCUUUGACAGUCACUUCUGGAUGGAAUGCAGUGGUGCAACCCUAGCUAACAUAACCUCCAACUCCUGGGCUUUGGAUCUUCCACGUCAGCCUCCCAAAUAGCUAGGACUACAGGUAUGUGCUGCCAAGCCUGGCUAAUUUUUUUUUUCUCUCCCUCUUUUUUUUUUUUAUUAUACUUUAAGUUUUAGAGUACACGUGCACAACGUGCAGGUUAGUUACAUAUGUAUACAUGUGCCAUGUUGGUGUGCUGCACCCGGGUGUGCUGCACCCGGGUGUGCUGCACCCAGUAACUCAUCAUUGAACAUUAGGUAUAUCUCCAAAUGCUAUCCCUCCCCCCUCCCCCCACCCCACAACAGGCCCCGGUGUGUGAUAUCCAUGUGUUCUCAUUGUUCAAUUCCCACCUAUGAGUGAGAACAUGCGGUGUUUGGUUUUUUGUCUUUGCGAUAGUUUGCUGAGAAGUCUCACUAUGUUGCCCAGGCUGGUCUUUUAAUCCUGGCCUCAAGCAAUCCUCCUAUCUCAGCCUCAGGAAGCAGUGCGAUUGCAAGCAUGAGCUGCUGCACCUGGCCUAAUGUUUUCAAUAAACUUUAUCAAAGUUAAAUUAUGAACAAUAUUGGUCCUAUACGGUAAACUUUUGUAUACAUAAAUUCAAUGAAACUUUUGGAACCACUUUGCAUUAUUUAUAAAAUUCUAUUAUCAAGUAAAUGAAAACAUCCAAGAGGCUCUGCUGAAAAAGGAUUUUUGGUUGGGUAGCUCACUGUGAAAGACAUUUGUCUGUCUUCAGUGAGAAACUGUUUCUCCUUUGAUAAGUUGCUUUAUAUAUUCAAUAAAAUUUAAGUCAUCAAACAUUAUACAGUUCUUUGUCCACAAGAACCGGUAUAUAUUGUUCUAAUUAAGAAACGCCACUGAAUAGCUUCUAGGAAGUUUCUGCAUUUUAGCAACCUUGAAACAAGAAUACCUACAUUUAAGUGAAACAUAAGUACAAUGCCCUGAGUUGGGGAAAACAUUCUGUAACCUAUAACAUAAAGAUUAAUUUUGAGUAGUACAAGGGAAAUAUAAAAGUGGAACAAAGCAGUAUCAGGAACUUGAGGAAAGAAUCAUUUAAACAGCUGUAGCCAGUCAUCAAAGAAACAAAACUCUCUAAAAGAACAACAAAUAAUGCAUGCUCAAUCUCAAGCUAACUAUGAGCAUAAAUGAGUUUGCAGAUAAAUCCCAGAUAUUCAGUCUACGUGAACACAACAGAAUAGCUGCUUCUAAAAACGAAUCAUUUAUUUAUUUUCCGUAGUUAGACUCACAACCCAAUGAAUAUCAUAUUACUAAAGUAAAAUAAAAUUUCUACAAAUGCGUUUUGAGAAUAUUUUUCUUUAUAUCUUUGUAGUUUUUAAAGGCAAUUUUAUAUGAAUCUUGGGGUGAAUAAAUUGUUCACUAUUGAAUCUUUCUAUAAAUUCCUUGAAUAGUUUUUCUAAAUGUCAUAACCCUGCAUUCAUUCAUUGUGUAAAUGUUUACUGAGCACUUACUAAAAGCUAGUACCUAUGUGGUAAGAUUACAGUGAUAAACCGCUGGGCCCAGUGGCUCACACCUGUAAUGCCAGCACUUUGUGAGGCCAAGGUGGGCGGAUCAUGAGGUCAGGAGAUCGAGACCAUCCUGGCGAACAUGGUGAAACCGCAUCUCUACUAAAAACAUAAAAAAUUAGCCGGGCGUGGUGGCGGGUGCCUGUAGUCCCAGCUACUUGGGAGGCUGAGGCAGGAGAAUGGCGUGAAUCCGGGAGGUGGAGCUUGCAGUGAGCCAAGAUCGCGCCACUGCACUCCAGCCUGGGUGACAGAGCGAGACUCCGUCUC